AUGAAUUUACCCCUCACUUCCAACUUUUUUCUCAAUGAAUUAACAGGGAAGCCAGUGAUAGCGGAAAUUUAAGAGGAGAAAGGAAUACAAGGUGUGCCUUGUCCCAUCCACUUGCUAUCUGUAGAUGGCUAUAUGAACAUGCAGCCUGCAAAUAUAAAAGAUUCAAUAGAUGGGAUAUUGUCCAGACAUAUGGGUAAAGUUUUAAUAAGACAUAAUAAUGUCCUU
rnacentral:lncRNA from 1 species